rnacentral:rRNA from 1 species
GAUGAACGCUGGCGGCGUGCCUAAUACAUGCAAGUCGAGCGAACGGACGAGAAGCUUGCUUCUCUGAUGUUAGCGGCGGACGGGUGAGUAACACGUGGAUAACCUACCUAUAAGACUGGGAUAACUUCGGGAAACCGGAGCUAAUACCGGAUAAUAUUUUGAACCGCAUGGUUCAAAAGUGAAAGACGGUCUUGCUGUCACUUAUAGAUGGAUCCGCGCUGCAUUAGCUAGUUGGUAAGGUAACGGCUUACCAAGGCAACGAUGCAUAGCCGACCUGAGAGGGUGAUCGGCCACACUGGAACUGAGACACGGUCCAGACUCCUACGGGAGGCAGCAGUAGGGAAUCUUGGGCAAUGGGCGAAAGCCUGACGGAGCAACGCCGCGUGGGUGAUGAAGGUCUUCGGAUCGUAAAACUCUGUUGUUAGGGAAGAACAUAUGUGUAAGUAACUGUGCACAUCUUGACGGUACCUAAUCAGAAAGCCACGGCUAACUACGUG